UUUCCCAUGGCAAACUGCUCAGUAACACAUGAUCAACUUACCCUACAGUGAAAAAUAACCUCGGGAAACUGAGGAUAAUGUUUCAUAGUUGAAAAGGCUUGGAAAAGUUUUUCAAUGAAAGGAUAAGAAAAAUGGUUUUUUUCCGCUAUAGGAUAGGAUCGUGCUCGAUUAUGGUUGUUGGUGAGGUAACGGCUCACCAAGCCGAUAAUCGAUAGGGGCCGUGAGAGCGGGUGCCCCGAGAUGGGUACUGAGACAACGACCCAGGCCUUACGAGGCGCAGCAGGCGCGAAACCUCCGCAAUACACGAAAGUGUGACGGGGUUACCCAAAGUGUUCAAUUUUGAACUGUGGUAGGUGAGUAAUGUCCCCUACUAGAAAGGAGAGGGCAAGGCUGGUGCCAGCCGCCGCGGUAAAACCAGCUCUUCAAGUGGUCGGGAUAAUUAUUGGGCUUAAAGUGUCCGUAGCCGGUUUAGCAAGUUCCUGGUAAAAUCGGGUAGCUUAACUAUCUGUAUGCUAGGAAUACUGUUAUACUAGAGGGCGGGAGAGGUCUGAGGUACUACAGGGGUAGGGGUGAAAUCUUAUAAUCCUUGUAGGACCACCAGUGGCGAAGGCGUCAGACUGGAACGUGCCUGACGGUGAGGGACGAAAGCCAGGGGAGCGAACCGGAUUAGAUACCCGGGUAGUCCUGGCCGUAAACGAUGCAUACUAGGUGAUGGCAUGGCCAUGAGCCGUGUCGGUGCCGUAGGGAAACCGUUAAGUGUG
rnacentral:rRNA from 1 species